rnacentral:rRNA from 1 species
CCUACGGGCGGCAGCAGUGAGGAAUAUUGGUCAAUGGGCGUAAGCCUGAACCAGCCAAGUCGCGUGAGGGAUGAAGGUUCUAUGGAUCGUAAACCUCUUUUAUAAGGGAAUAAAGUGUGGGACGUGUCCUGUUUUGUAUGUACCUUCUGAAUAAGGAUCGGCUAACUCCGUGCCAGCAGCCGCGGUAAUACGGCGGAUCCGAGCUUUAUCCGGAUGUAUUGGGUUUAAAGGGUUCGUAGGCGGCCUUUUAAGUCAGCGGUGAAAGGCUGUGGUUCAACCAUAGAAUGGCCGUUGAAACUGGGAGGCUUGAGUAUGUUUGAGGCAGGCGGAAUGCGUGGUGUAGCGGUGAAAUGCUU